AUCGAACGCUGGCGGCAGGCCUAACACAUGCAAGUCGAGCGGAAGCAGGGAGCUUGCUCCUGGAUUCAGCGGCGGGCGGGUGAGUAAUGCCUAGGAAUCUGCCUGGUUGUGGGGGAUAACGUCCGGAAACGGGCGCUGAUACCGCAUACUACCUGAUGGAGAAAGUGGGGGGUCUUCGGAACUCCUGCUAGCGGAGGAGCCUAGGUCGGAUUAGCUAGUUGGUGGGGUUAAGGGCUGCCACGGCGACGAUCCGUACCUGGUCUGCGUGGAUGAUCGGUGACACUGGACCUGCAACGCGGCCAUCACUCCUACGAGAGGCAGCAGUGGGCAAUAGGGGACACUGGGCGGAAGCCUGCUCCAGGCGUACCAAGCGUGUGAAAAAGGUCUUCGGAGUGUAAAGAACGUUAUCUGGUGAGGAAGGGCAGUAAGUUAUUACGUUGCUGUUUUGACGUUACCAACAAAAGAAGCACCGGCUAACUUCGUG
rnacentral:rRNA from 1 species